GACGAACGCUGGCGGCGUGCCUAAUACAUGCAAGUCGAACGCAGUGGGGAUGGGUGAGUAACACGUGGGUAACCUCCCAUCAGAGGGGAUAAAACUUGGAAACUGGUGCUAAACCGAUAUUUAUGGAUGGACCCGCGGUGCAUUAGCUAGUUGGUGAGGUAACGGCUAACCAAGGCCACGAUGCAUAGCCGCCCUGAGAGGAUGAUCGGCCACACUGGAACUGAGACACGGCCCAGACUCCUACGGGAGGCAGCAGUGGGGAAUCUUCGACAAUGGACGAAAGUCUGACCGAGAAACGCCGCGUGAGUGAAGAAGGUUUUCGGAUCGUAAAGCUCUGGUGUUAGAGAAGCGGUAUCUAACCAGAAAGCCACGGCUAACUACGUGCCAGCAGCCGCGGUAAUAC
rnacentral:rRNA from 1 species